UACGGGGGGGCAAGCGUUGUUCGGAAUUACUGGGCGUAAAGGGUUCGUAGGUGGCCAACUAAGUCAGACGUGAAAUCCCUCAGCUCAACUGGGGAACUGCGUCUGAUACUGGUCGGCUUGAGUGCAGGAGAGGAACGCGGAAUUCCAGGUGUAGCGGUGAAAUGCGUAGAUAUCUGGAGGAACACCGGUGGCGAAGGCGGCGUUCUGGACUGCAACUGACACUGAGGAACGAAAGCCAGGGAGCAAACGGG
rnacentral:rRNA from 1 species